UAGGGAAUCUUCGGCAAUGGACGAAAGUCUGACCGAGCAACGCCGCGUGAGUGAAGAAGGUUUUCGGAUCGUAAAACUCUGUUGUUAGAGAAGAACAAGGACGUUAGUAACUGAACGUCCCCUGACGGUAUCUAACCAGAAAGCCACGGCUAACUACGUGCCAGCAGCCGCGGUAAUACGUAGGUGGCAAGCGUUGUCCGGAUUUAUUGGGCGUAAAGCGAGCGCAGGCGGUUUCUUAAGUCUGCUGUGAAAGCCCCCGGCUCAACCGGGGAGGGUCAUUGGAAACUGGGAGAAUUGAGGGCAGAAGAGGAGAGAGGAAGUCAUGUGUAGCGGUGAAAGGCGUAGAUAGAUGGAGGAACACCAGUGGAGAAGGCGGCUCUCUGGUCUGUAACUGACGAUGAGGCUCGAAAGCGUGGGGAGAAAACAGG
rnacentral:rRNA from 1 species